GAUUUCUUAUCCUGAUAUUCUCGAAUCUCAAAGUUUUCAUAUCAUUUUUAAUACGUACUGUGUCUGAACCGAAUAAGGUUUUUAACAUUUGUGCAAUUAUCAUUUCACUAAUCCCGAGUUGAUUGGAGUGAAACGUCGCUGGUGUACGUAAAGUGCACACUUUUGGCGACCCUUGAGGGUCUUCGCAUUCCAGUUGCAGACUGGCGCGUGUCACCUUUAACUGGCAAUUUAAGUCACCCGCUUCGGCAUUUCAGCGGUGAGAUGCGGAUGAAUAUCGGAGGACGACAACGAUUGAGCAGCAUCAACCCAACUAAGGAGACUCUGUUGCAUUUCUUUCUCUCUUCCGAAGGCAGAACGCUGGCAUUCCAAAGAGCGUUUGAAAUGCCAGAAGCGAUAAGAACUCCAGAAGAUGAAGCGGGGGACAAACGGGGAUUAUAAACGCCCGAUGCCGAGCUUAAUAACAUCGAGUUAGACGAUCCGCUUCCCGCGGAAUAGUAUUCUGAUCCAUUCCCGGAUAAUGCAUGGAUUAUGGUGGAUUAUAACAACAAUUAAGCACGGCAUGGAAUAUCAUCCGAAUAUGUACUUUAUUGUAGUUAUCGUUUUCUAUUUACGAUUUAUUACUGAUAGAUCCUUGCGAAUCAAUUCCUCUACGUCAAAUUACCCCGGGGGACAUGGUGCGUGAUGCCAGCUGGCUGGGAUUCAUUCAGGAUAUUAACGAUGACACGUGUUGGUCAACAACAACGCCUGUGCCCUCUACGUCCACGCUUCGCACCUGUGCUUGCUACAGUUCUUGUCCCGAGCGACGUGUCCGUGUUCGCGUCUUCCCGCCAUCAUAUCAUCCUAUGCGUUACGGCGCCAGUUCCGCGUGCACCCAGUCACGAUGUCAAAUGCUUUUGGGGAACGCGGAAUGAGCAUUCACCUCCAUAAACUUGCUGAGAAAGGACCACGCCUAUUACUGCAGUUCCUUUCCCUGUCUGGUGUCUGCAAGACAUCCUGCAUGGCUCGGAAGCCUAACAGAUGUUAGGCCGGGUAAUACAGCAGGAGAAAUUAAUUUAUAGAAUGCUUACGGGCUACGGGUUAUGGAAGAAUUAGGAUUUUCACUAAUCGUAUAAAAAUAGGAUUUUUAGCAUUAGGAUUGUAUUAGGAUAUUUUCUAAACCGGACGAGCAAAAUUAACGACGGACGUUCUUGCGGUCCUGGGAUGUUUGGGCCGUUUAAGAGACAAAACGCCUGCCGGACGUCAAAGACGCCCGAGUGGUUUGGAUGGCUUUAAACAUCUCAGUCUGUAGCGGCCUGACAACAGCCAGUUAGUGUGUUUGUGUCAUUGCUGAUAGUCUGAUAUUAGUCUGCAUUUCAGCAGCU